CGUAUGUUCUUUCCAAUUAUAUCUUUCACAUAAUUAAUUUCUGAUUUAUUGCUUCUUAAUCUGUACAUUAGUUUUCAUAAUUGUGUUUACUCAAAUCCUGCUAGUGAGUCCAUUUCUUAACAGUGUUUCUGUAACUACAGCAGGAACGUUUCCCAGUCUUUUUUAGAGUCUCUAUUGUCCUUGUCUCUGAGUCUUUCUGUGAGUUUUGCCAUUUCUGCGCAUUCCAUAAGUUUUUUUUGCCAUUCUUCUUUCGUUGGCAUCUUGGCAUCUUUCCAUUUUUGGACAGGUGACCUCACCUAGGACUGAAGUCACCCCCCACCAAAGCAGGCUCAAAACUUCUCAAAGCUUUUCAAAAUCAUUUUCUCAGCAGCUAAGCAUCAGAAACAUUCCGCUCUGCUGUAACAAAGGUAGAGAACAGUCCAUUGUUUCUCAGGCCAGAAGACGUGAGCAAGGCCAGAAGACAUGAGAAAGGCCUGAGAAACAAUGGACUGUUCUCUACCUUUGUUACAGCAGAGCGGAAUGUUUCUGAUGCUUAGCUGCUGAGAAAAUGAUUUUGAAAAGCUUUGAGAAGUUUUGAGCCUGCUUUGGUGGGGGGUGACUUUGGGCCUAGGUGAGGUCACCUGUCCUCACCUUCCUUCAGUAAAAUCCUAGCUGCUGUUGUAGCAUGCAGCAAUAACUUCUUCCACUCUUUUGGCAAUUCCUGCCCUAUAAAGGUAUAAUGAUUAUUAGAUCUUUUCCAGAAAGUUCUGUUCUGUGGGACCCCUGGGGGCUUCUCUUACACGUAAACAUGCUUGGCAGAAAAGACGCCCAAGCCUACUCAGCGUAGCAUAACGAGGCCAUUAUCGGGGAGGUUGAGGACUUCCAAUAAGAAAAGGGCAUACUUUUUAGUGUGCAAUGUUUUAUUAUGUUUUUCUAUAUGUUUGAAGCACUGCCGCGCCACUUUAAAGAGACAUGGCUCCCCCCCAUCCCUCUCCACAGUGUCACAAGAAUUCUAAGGCAUCACAAAUAAAAACGAAGGCUCAUCAAUGCACAAGAUAAACACACGUACGUAAGUACCCAAACCACGUGUCUGAAAUAGUGCAGGGGAGGAAUCCUGAAGCCGCCUUGGCUCUUAAUGACCGCAAAUAUUUCCUCUGCGGGAGGAAAUACCUUGAGGAAACCUCUCCCGAUAGUUCCUUUCACUUAACGAAUCCUUCAGAGCCACUCAAAAGAGCACAUUUUGUGCAUGAAGAGGCGAUAGGGGAGGUCUGUGACCAGGGUUUCUGAAACCAGGGUAUGUACCAUUUCAAAAGAUGACUGGCUAGGAUAAUGCAACCCGCAAGUAUUAUCAAGUGUCAGAAGGCAAGAUAAGUAUCAAAACAUAAGACAUGGUGUACGAGGAAGACUCUGAGAAGGAGGCGUCUGGGUAAAAUCAAGGCAGCAACUGACCUACUUGAGAGCAUUCAAGUUGCCUGUUCAUCAAUGUUCUUCCCAUGAAGAAGGGAGAAGAAACUGAGAUUUUAUCUGGAUUUCUCAUUGCCUCAUACAAAGUACAAAGAGUUCUUUCUUUAUUAGCUUCUGUUUAGAGUAUAGAACACCGAUCAGAUGUUUGAGCAGCUUCUUGAAGAAAGUGUGGUCAAGUUUCCUUGCAUAUUCAGUAGGAUAAGUGGAUUGUAGAGGGUUCUUAAUUCUAAGACCCUUAGGUAUAAUGUCCAGGCUCUUGCAUUUAGUCAGAAAGAAGAUGUCAGUCUGUACCUGUGCAAGUUUCUUGGUGAGGUUGAUGGACUUCCAUUUCAUGCGGCUCAAUGUGGUGCCUUCCAUAGUUCUACCUAUGAGUAGUUGGAAUCCGGCUACCUACCUGUAAUUGGAAAAACAGGUUCUGUGUCAGUGCCCCUCCUGACAUGCAGAUUUCAUGUUCCAGAGAACAGGCUAUAAUUCCAGGAGCUUGUAACUCUGUUCCCCCCCGAUGAAGAGUUCUGUGAAACUCCAAACUCUGUGCACACCACGUUGUUUAUCAGCCUUAAUGUUUCCAUGCUGUAAAAUGGGAGAGAUGCAUCAUGCUGCUUCUUUUCAGAACUGGAUUGGCAGACUGUUUCGGGGUAAUUUACAAACCACCCCAAUCUCUGAGCAGUGUGAGAUUCCAGGGGUUUGUGUUACCUUUCGGAACAAAUAGGCACAGCAGAGUCUGCAGCACCUUUAUGAUAUAUGGUUUAUUUCCACAAAUAUACAGCUUGAACCGAGAUGGAGUGCAGAGCAUUCGCAUCCCAAGAGGCUUUUGGUUCUCCCAUUGCUGCAGCCUCGCCUUCCAAGGGAGCCCAAUAUCCGUCCAAAGCCUGGCACUGCAGGAGUCACAGCUAAAGACGGCCACCCAACCUCUGUUCAGAAACCUUCAGCGAAGGAGACUCCACCACCUGAGGCAUUUCCAAAGUAAAGGAAGGAUUGAACUCUGAUUAAUAAGAAUACACACAGAGGCUUGAACCAGCAAGACCCUGGGAAGGGUGUGUAUAAUCGUGUCUCCCUGUGCCUGUCCGUGAG
rnacentral:lncRNA from 1 species